rnacentral:rRNA from 1 species
GACGAACGCUGGCGGCGUGCCUAAUACAUGCAAGUAGAACGCUGAAGGAGGAGCUUGCUUCUCUGGAUGAGUUGCGAACGGGUGAGUAACGCGUAGGUAACCUGCCUGGUAGCGGGGGAUAACUAUUGGAAACGAUAGCUAAUACCGCAUAAUAGUAGAUGUUGCAUGACAUUUGCUUAAAAGGUGCAAUUGCAUCACUACCAGAUGGACCUGCGUUGUAUUAGCUAGUUGGUGGGGUAACGGCUCACCAAGGCGACGAUACAUAGCCGAACUGAGAGGGUGAUCGGCCACACUGGGACUGAGACACGGCCCAGACUCCUACGGGAGGCAGCAGUAGGGAAUCUUCGGCAAUGGACGGAAGGCUGACCGAGCAACGCCGCGUGAGUGAAGAAGGGUUUCGGAUCGUAAAGCUCUGUUGUAAGAGAAGAACGAGUGUGAGAGUGGAAAGUUCACACUGUGACGGUAUCUUACCAGAAAGGGACGGCUAACUACGUG